CAUGUAGGUGGGCUUUUAAGUCCGAUGUGAAAAUGCGGGGCUCAACCCCGUAUGGCAUUGGAUACUGGAAGUCUUGAGUGCAGGAGAGGAAAGGGGAAUUCCCAGUGUAGCGGUGAAAUGCGUAGAUAUUGGGAGGAACACCAGUGGCGAAGGCGCCUUUCUGGACUGUGUCUGACACUGAGAUGCGAAAGCUAGGGUAGCAAACG
rnacentral:rRNA from 1 species